rnacentral:rRNA from 1 species
GAGUUUGAUCGUGGCUCAGAUUGAACGCUGGCGGCAUGCCUUACACAUGCAAGUCGAACGGUAACAGGUCUUCGGAUGCUGACGAGUGGCGAACGGGUGAGUAAUACAUCGGAACGUGCCCGAUCGUGGGGGAUAACGGAGCGAAAGCUUUGCUAAUACCGCAUACGAUCUACGGAUGAAAGCAGGGGACCGCAAGGCCUUGCGCGGACGGAGCGGCCGAUGGCAGAUUAGGUAGUUGGUGGGAUAAAAGCUUACCAAGCCGACGAUCUGUAGCUGGUCUGAGAGGACGACCAGCCACACUGGGACUGAGACACGGCCCAGACUCCUACGGGAGGCAGCAGUGGGGAAUUUUGGACAAUGGGCGAAAGCCUGAUCCAGCCAUGCCGCGUGCAGGAUGAAGGCCUCGGUU